GACGAACGCUGGCGGCGUGCUUAACACAUGCAAGUCGAACGGAAAGGCCCUGCUUUUGUGGGGUGCUCGAGUGGCGAAAGGGUGAGUAACACGUGAGUAACCUGCCCUUGACUUUGGGAUAACUUCAGGAAACUGGGGCUAAUACCGGAUAGGAGCUCCGGCUGCAUGGUGGGGGUUGGAAAGUUUCGGCGGUUGGGGAUGGACUCGCGGCUUAUCAGCUUGUUGGUGGGGUAGUGGCUUACCAAGGCUUUGACGGGUAGCCGGCCUGAGAGGGUGACCGGCCACAUUGGGACUGAGAUACGGCCCAGACUCCUACGGGAGGCAGCAGUGGGGAAGAUUGCACAAUGGGCGGAAGCCUAAUGCAGCAACGCCGCGUGCGGGAUGACGGCCUUCGGGUUGUAAACCGCUUUCGCCUGUGACGAAGCGUGAGUGACGGUAAUGGGUAAAGAAGCACCGGCUAACUACGUG
rnacentral:rRNA from 1 species